UUGCCCAUAGCUGCAAACAAAUUAUUUGAAGAAUUAGAAUUCAGAUCAGAAUUCAGUGCUCUGUCUAGAGAAAGAGAAAAUGGGGUGACUAAAUGGAAAAAUCAGGGUUUUUCAGGGAGCGUCAUUUGGAGAUUGAGAAGCCACGAGUUGGAGUUGAGCUAGAGGCAGAAGCUGGAAGAGCUAAAAGACAAGCUGCAAGAGCUCUUGGAACCAAGGAGGGAGAGAGGCCUCUAAGAAAGCUAACUGGGCCCAAGGAAAGAGACAAGACUUGGAAGGAGAAAAUAAAUGUUUGGAUUUUAACAGCUGGCUGCAUUUGAAGUGAUUAUUACUCUGAACUGGAAACUAAGGCUGCCUCCAGAAAAACCUCCCCAAGAAAUCUGCUCCCACAGAGAACCAUCAUAUAUUUUAGAAAAGAAGAAGACCACCACAUUUUGGUGCCCAAACAGGAACUGACAGGACCCUGAUCUCAGAUCCUGAUUUCAGUGGAAAAGCCUCUGAUCCUGUUCCACUGGAAAAGUCUUCUCAACCUUCAGAAAUUAGGCGACCUAAAACAUUGUUCUGAGGAAGGAUCCAUAGACUUCCAACUGCCAAACAAGAACUGCCAAAGAGGUCUAUGCUGCAAAAAAGAACCACAACUUUAAAAGAUAUAAUAUCAGUAUCAAAGCUCUGUGAUCCUCCUUCCUCUUCCUCCUUUUCCCCCUCUCCUUCCAAUUUCAAACAAUUUGUUACUAAAUAGUCUAAGGCUAAAUAAACACAGUUAUUGCUUAAGGAAUCUGUUGUUCUGGACUAUGCCACUAGUUCUUUUUCACAGAUUCUUUCAAAUAGAGGCAGACAGAUAGAGAUAAAGACAGACAGGGAUAGUUAGGUAGCAAGAUAGACAGAGACAGACAGACAGACAGAUAGAUAGAUAGAUGACUUGAGGGACUAUAGACAGAUAGAUGGAUAGAUAGACAGAUAUACAGACAAGUGGAUAGAUACUUGGGUGGGUUUUUGAACAGGUAGUUGGAUAAAUAGACAGAUGGAUAGAUAGAUGGAUAAAUAGCCAGGUAGAUUGAUAGAUCGGUGAAUAGAAAGAAAUAAAGAGGUGGAUAGAUAGAUUCAUUGACAGACAGGUGGGUAGAUAGACAGAGAGACAGCUGGAAAUAUAGUUGGGGGAUAGAAAGCUGAAUAAACAGGUGAAUAGACAGAGAGAUAGACAGAGAUAGCUAGAUGGGUAGAUAGAUGGAUGAACUGAAAGACAGGUGGCUAUACAGACAGACACAGAUAGAUAGAUGGUUAUAUAGAUGAAUAAAUGGAUGGAUGGAUGGACAGGUGGAUAGAUAGAUUGAUGGACAGGUGGAUAGACAGAUAGAUGGAUAGACAGAUGCAUAGAUAGAUAGCUAGGUAACUAGGUAGCUAAUGGAUAGAUGAAUAAAUAAACAGGUGAAUAUGUAAACAGAUAGAUAAAUGAAUUGAUAGGUGGCUAGACAGACAGACUCAGGUAGAUGAUUAGGUAGGUGAAUAAGUGUAUAGAUGGAUGGAUAGAAGAACAUGUGGAUAGAUAGAUAAAUAGAUCAAUGGAUUGAUACACUGUUGGAUAGAUAGAUAGACAGACAAACAACUACAUAAAUAGAGACAGGUGGAUAGAUAAGUAGAUGGACAGCUAAGUAGAUAAAUAGAUGGAUAGAUGGAGAAGCAGGUGGAUAGAUAGGUAGAUGUAUAGAAAGAUAGAUAAGACAACAUUUUUAAACACUUGCUUUGUGCCAAGCACUGUGCCAAUCCCUGAGGAAACAACUGCAAAUAAUGAAGCCAGCCUCUGCCCCAAUGAACUUAUAUCCCUAUUAGAAAAGAUCACACGUAAAGCGGGCAAUGAGAAAGGAGAAUCCUGAUUCUAGACCAUGGAGAGGAGUUUGAAAGAAGUUACAGGGUCUGCAAGAUGAGGUGAAAAGUUCAGCCAGCAGAGCUGGCAGAGUCAGGGAAGGAGUCCAAAUUUCAGGGCAAAUCUUUGUCCUGAGGGCCUGCUCUUGGUAAUGUGGAGUAUGUAGGGGCUUUUGAAAAUGUUUCCAAGGAAACCAAUACUUGAAAUAUUCUUUUAUUCAAAUAUAUUAAGUACCCAAUGCUAAUGAUUGCCCAGGGCUCUUAUUUGAAGUCAGGAGCUGUUGGAGGAAAGUAGUUGUCUAAAAUACCCCCUCAAAGCCAGAGAGAUUUUUUCAUGCUUCCCCUUGCUAAGAGCUAGCAGUUCAGGCAGCCAAGAGAACCUGGGGUUGUUUGUUUGUGUGUGUGGGAAGGUGAAGGAUAGAAAGGAAUAACUGUUAUAUAGGAUUUCACUAAUUGCAUUUUCUAUCUGACUUUUGAUGUCUUAUUAAAUAAAUUGCAUCUCCUGUU